AGUACUCUAGUCAAUCCAAAUAUUAUGAAUCUAUGAUUGACAAUAAUCGCCUAGCACGCCUUUUCCAAGUCUUCGAGGCUCCACUUUGUUUUAUAAUCAAAAAGCUCAUCAAUCCCUCCGACCCAUACACUUUCGUCCCCAUUGUCUCACUCUCAAGCAAACCCAAUCCCGAUACAAAACUCUCACAGACAAAAACACAAACACCUAAACUACAAAAAAAUCUCCUCAUGGAAAAAGAAAAACCCAAUAAUAUAAACUCAGCAACGUGUCAACAAGUCCCAAAGCUUCUCUCCUCUUUCGUCGACACUUUCGUCGAUUUCUCCGUCAGUGGCGGCCUCUUCUUACCAAAUUACCAAAACACCCCUCACUCUAAUGCCCCUGUAGAUAACCAAAAUUAUGAAAAUGCCCUCAAAACUCGGUAUCCUACUCCACCGAGUCGACUCGUCGCGAUCGGCGAUCUCCACGGCGACUUGGAGAAGUCGAAGGAGGCGCUCCGUCUCGCCAAUUUGAUUAACGACUCCGGUGACUGGACCGGCGGGUCAACCACCGUGGUUCAGAUCGGGGAUGUGCUCGAUCGCGGCGGCGAUGAGAUUAAAAUACUUUACUUCCUCGAGAGGCUUCGCCGGCAAGCGGCGAGAGCCGGCGGAGAAAUCAUCACCAUGAACGGAAACCACGAGAUCAUGAACGUGUGUAGAGAUUUCCGGUGCGUGUCGAAAUCGGGUUUGGAAGAGUUUAGGGUUUGGGCGGAGUGGUACCGUGUGGGCCAAGUAAUGAAAACUCUCUGCGAGGGUUUGGAAAACCCUAAGAACAUAUUCGAAGGAAUUCCUAAAUCACUUUGCCGAGUCAAUCACGAUGGUGAUGAAGCUUUUGUAGAAGGAAUCAGAGCGAGAAUCGCCGCUUUACGACCUACCGGUCCGAUAUCGGCGCGGUUUUUAUCGAAAAACGCGACUGUUUUGGUCAUCGGCGAUUCAGUUUUCGUUCACGGUGGCCUCAAGCCGGAGCACGUGUACUAUGGAUUGGAGAAAAUCAACGAAGAUGUGAGAGACUGGAUCAAUGGAUUGGGGGAAAAUUACACGCUGAAGCAUUUUGCUAGGAAGAAAGAUGCGGUGGUGUGGAUGAGGGAUUUUUCGGAUGAUUCGAAGAAGAAAUGUGAUUGUUCAGCUCUUGAAUUGUUGCUUAACACAAUUCCGGGGGUGAGGAGGAUGAUUAUGGGACAUACAAUUCAGAAGAAUGGGAUCAAUGGAGCUUGUGAAAAUCGGGCGAUAAGGAUUGAUGUGGGGAUGUCCAAAGGGUGCGGUAAUGGGUUGCCGGAGGUUUUGGAGAUUAGUGAGAAUUUGGGGUUAAGGAUUUUGACGUCAAACCCACAGUAUCAGAAUAAGUAUAAGGCUUAUUUGGAUAGUGAGAGGAAGGAAGGGCUUGGGUUGUUGAUUCCAGAACAAGGACCAAAACAAGUGGAAGUGAAGGCUUAGGAGUUUGGGUUGUUGAGCUGCUCAUGCUUCAUCCUGAGAAAUUUGUGAAGUUUGGAAUUGAUCAUCCUAAGGGUGUCCUUUGCUAUGGUCCUUCAGGGACGGGUAACACACUGUUAGCUAAAGCAGUGGCUAACAGAACUGAUGCUUGCUUCAUUCAAGUUAUUGGGAGUGAGCUUGUGCAGAGAUAUAUUGGUAUGGGAGCUAAGAUGGUUCGAGAACUGUUCCAGAUGGCACAUUCCAAAAACACGUAUUUUAUUUUUUGAUGAAGUGGAUGCAAUUGGAGGUACACAUUUUGAUGAUGGUAUUGGUGGUGAUAAUGAGAUGCAGCGUACAAUGUUGAAAAUUGUAAAUUAGCUUGAUGGCUUUGAUGCUCAAGGAAACAUAAAAGUUUUAAAGGCCACAAAUAG